GAACGCACAUUGCGCCCCCUGGCAUUCCGGGGGGCAUGCCUGUUCGAGCGUCUCAGGGACGAACCCUCGCGCGUGUGAAAAACGCGCGGUCAUGGCUGCGGUGGCGUGCCCGAGGAGGCGGCCACCGCGCUGGAAUCCAUGGGCGGACGCCUGCCGCGUGGCCGAGCGUGAUAUGACGCAUUGGCGCUGGCGCGAGGCGAGGCUGCCAGCCCUGGCCCGUCUGUCGGGCGGGGGAGAGAGCAAGACACGUGAACUCCUCGAAUCAGGUAGGGAUACCCGCUGAACUUAAG
rnacentral:misc_RNA from 1 species